GCAGCCCAGCUCUGACAGCCUGAGAGCGGAGAGAGAGAGAGAGAGAGGAUGAAGAGAAGGGAGGGGGAAGAGAGAGUGAUAGCAUGACAGAAAGCGAGAGAAUCGGAGAGUUAAAGAGAGAGAGAGGGGCAGCCUGCCAGUGAAUGGUAACACAGGAUCAACCCUCAGCCUACGGAUCAUAAUGGAGGAAGAAACCCUGCUGCGAGAGAGACUGCAGGCUAUAACAGACAAAAGAAGACUUCGAGAGGAGAUAGAAAAGAAACGAAGAAACAUUGAAGAAGAGAAAUUAAAGCUACAAUAUCUAAAGAAAAAAACUUUACGAGAACAAUGGCUGAUGGACGGAUUGAGCACCCUGAGCGAAGAGGAGCAGGAAUCUGUGAAGGCCCAGACUGAAGAUAACCAGCAGCAGACCAAACUCCUGCAGAGCAAUGUCGACAGAAUAGAGCAGGAAAUUGCGGUUCUGGAGACACAAGAGCUGGAGCUGUCUGCAAAAGAGGAGAUUCUUCUGAAACAACUUAAGGAGGUGGAGAAAACUCCAGAGGAUAUCAUAAAGGAAGUAAACGCAAAUAUCCGGCCAGGUAAAGACAAUUCCUCUUUUUGCUGUAUUGCCAUUUGUACAGCAUUCUUUCCCAGGAUGCAUUUUUUUGAACAGAUUGUUUCUUACAGAGCCAGUCCAAUACAUUUACACUGCCAUACCUGAUGUCCCAAAGUCCUAUACUCCCAAAGCCAGGAGGAGGAGUGUCGGUCAAGGGGAAAUGUGAAACUGGUGAAGAGCAGGAGAAGACAGCUUCAUACACCAUGAAGAUCAGUGUUGAAAAAGAUCUCCGCACUGGUGAGAGUCACAUCCUUUCCACAGCAACCAUCGCACCUCUGGAUCUCCAACAACAAGGCAUCAAAGUUUACGAUGAUGGCCGUAAAUCUGU